rnacentral:rRNA from 1 species
UACAGGGGGUGCAAACGUUGCUCGGAAUUAUUGGGCGUAAAGGGCGCGUAGGCGGCCCUCUAAGUCAGACGUGAAAUCCCUCGGCUCAACCGGGGAACUGCGUCUGAGACUGGAAGGCUUGAAUUCGGGAGAGGGAUGUGGAAUUCCAGGUGUAGCGGUGAAAUGCGCAGAUAUCAGGAGGAACACCAAUGGCGAAGGCAGCUCGCUGGAACGGUACUGACGCUGAGGCGCGAAAGCGUGGGGAGCGAACAGG